UCUUCUGGUUUUUAGAGUCUCUCUGGAGAAGUCUUGAAAGAACCUCAUGGGGAAACCCCCACUCAAUUCCCAAUUUGGCGUGCACCCAAGAAUCAUGAACAGUCGA
rnacentral:pre_miRNA from 7 species